CUACGGGUGGCAGCAGUGGGGAAUAUUGCACAAUGGAGGAAACUCUGAUGCAGCAACGCCGCGUGGAGGAUGACACUUUUCGGAGCGUAAACUCCUUUUAUAUAGGAAGAAGAUGACGGUACUAUAUGAAUAAGCGCCGGCUAACUCCGUGCCAGCAGCCGCGGUAAUGCGGAGGGCGCAAGCGUUACUCGGAAUCACUGGGCGUAAAGAGCGUGUAGGCGGAUUAAAAAGUCAGAAGUGAAAUCCUAUAGCUUAACUAUAGAACUGCUUCUGAAACUCUUAAUCUAGAAUAUGGGAGAGGUAGAUGGAAUUUCUGGUGUAGGGGUAAAAUCCGUAGAGAUCAGAAGGAAUACCGAUUGCGAAGGCGAUCUACUAGAACAUUAUUGACGCUGAGACGCGAAAGCGUGGGGAGCAAACAGGAUUAGAUACCCCGGUAGUC
rnacentral:rRNA from 1 species